AUUGAACGCUGGCGGCAGGCCUAACACAUGCAAGUCGAGCGGAUGAAGGGAGCUUGCUCCUGGAUUCAGCGGCGGACGGGUGAGUAAUGCCUAGGAAUCUGCCUGGUAGUGGGGGAUAACGUCCGGAAACGGGCGCUAAUACCGCAUACGUCCUGAGGGAGAAAGUGGGGGAUCUUCGGACCUCACGCUAUCAGAUGAGCCUAGGUCGGAUUAGCUAGUUGGUGGGGUAAAGGCCUACCAAGGCGACGAUCCGUAACUGGUCUGAGAGGAUGAUCAGUCAACACUGGAACUGAGACAGGCCCCGGCCCCCAGCGGAGGCAGACGGUGGGAAAUUUUGAAAAAGGGCGAAAGCCUUGACCCACCAGUGCGGGGGGUGGAAAAAAGUUUUUGUGUUUUAAAGCCAUUUAAAGUUGGGAGAAAGGAAAGUAAUUAAUUCCCUUGCUUUUUGCAGUUUACAAACAAAAAAGCCACCGCCUAACUCGGGC
rnacentral:rRNA from 1 species